GGGUCAGUAGUCUAGGGGUAUGAUACCUGCUUUGGGUGCAGGUGGUCCGGGGUUCAAUUCCCCGCUGGCCCC
rfam:Ramazzottius varieornatus DNA, contig: Scaffold008, strain: YOKOZTNA-1.